rnacentral:lncRNA from 1 species
CCGCUUCUUGGCUCUCUUCUGCAAUGUCCUCUUCUGCAGGCAGGCAGGGCCCUGGGCUGUCCUCUGCCGCUUGGGACUGGGAGGUGGCUGGGUGGGUAGGCGAUGGCUGUGGCAGAGGGGUGGUGGCAGGGCUGGAUUCCUCACUUUGCAGCCGCUGCAGCUCCUCAGCGAGCAGCUCGAGUUGUUGGGUUUGAUGGUGGCACCGAUCUUCCAGGUCGGCCACCUGGGCUCGUAACAUUUGCGAGGCUUCCUCGUGCUGCCUCUUGCCUUCUUCCUGAGCCCUCUGCAAGCUCUCGAGCUCCUGUUCUUUCUUCUGGAGCUCCAGCUGUGUCUCCAGGUGUUUUUUCUCCAGCUGUGGCCCUCUGUCUGCAAUUUCCUUGAGCCCUUUCAGCUGGCACUCGGCCUCUUGCAGCUGGGCCUGAAGCUCGCUGACCUGUCGCAGGGCCAAGUUUUGCUCUUCUUCCAUUUGCUCCACCUGCUUCUUCAGGUCAGCAUUUUCAGCUUGGACUCCCAUCGCUGCGUCCAGCUGCCUUCGGAGGCGAGAAUUUUCUUCCUCCAGUCGCUUUUUUUCCUCGCUCAGCUGCGUGAGCUGGGCAAGCAGCACCUCCUCGCUUGGGCUGGGGGCACUCUCACAGGGUGGCGGUGCCUCAGCGGAGCUUUGGCUGGGUGGAGGCCCUGGAGUCUUGCUGUCCUGCUGGAUGGUCUUCAUCAGGGCUCUGCAUUUCUCCUCCAGCUGCUCGGUCAGCACCACCAGUUUUUCUUUGGCUUCCUGGAGCAUCUGCAGCUCCCGGCACUCUUCCUCGGUGCUUGCCUCUCUCAGGAGGCGUUUCUUUGCCUCCAGGGCCUGGCGUUGCUUCUCCAGGCCGCUCAUGGCUCGCUGGAGGCGGUCGUGCUGCUCCAGCAUCCACUCGAGCGUGCAUGGCAGCACCUUGUCUUCGUCGGAAGGUUCUGGAACCUGCAAUCACCAAAUCAGAGAAAGGGUUGGGUUGGAAGGGAGCUCAGCGCCCACCUCAUUCCAGCCCCUGCCAGGUUUGGGGCCCCCCCCCUAGCCUGCGCCAGGGCCUCGCCGCCCUCCCGGGGGAGGAUUUCUUCCUUAUACCUGACCCAAACGUGCCCUCCUCUGCCUCAGGCCGUUACUCUGAGCCCCCCACUGCCCUCCCUGACAGAAUCUCUCCCCAGCUUUCCUGUAGCCCCCUCUAGGGACCUCAGGCCACCCCCCGAGGUCUCCCUGGAGCCUUCUCCCCCCCAGCUUCCUCAGCCUGGCUCCUCACCUGGACCUGAGCGUCCUUCACAGGACGGCUGCUGCCCUUUUCGGAGCCCCAGCUUUCCUUGGCUCCCUUCUGCGGUGCGUCCCGGGCAGGCUGAGCCCGUGUCGGCGUCUUUGGCUCUGCCUUGCCCAAGGGCCCUUCUUGAUCUUCUUGGCCCUUUGUUCCCUGGCUGUCUUCUUGCUCGUCCUCGAAGCCCGCCACGAUGAACUUGAUGAAAAGCUUCUUCUCCAGCUCCAGCUCAUGCUGGAGCUGGCGGAUGCGGGCGGGCUGGUCC